rnacentral:rRNA from 1 species
AUUGAACGCUGGCGGAAUGCUUUACACAUGCAAGUCGAACGGUAGAGGGGGCAACCCCUCGAGAGUGGCGAACGGGUGAGUAAUAUAUCGGAACGUGCCCAGUCGUGGGGGAUAACGUAGCGAAAGUUACGCUAAUACCGCAUACGAUCUAAGGAUGAAAGCGGGGGAUCGCAAGACCUCGCGCGAUUGGAGCGGCCGAUAUCAGAUUAGGUAGUUGGUGGGGUAAAGGCUCACCAAGCCAACGAUCUGUAGCUGGUCUGAGAGGACGACCGGCCACACUGGAACUGAGACACGGUCCAGACUCCUACGGGAGGCAGCAGUGGGGAAUUUUGGACAAUGGACGCAAGUCUGAUCCAGCCAUUCCGCGUGCAGGAUGAAGGCCCUCGGGUUGUAAACUGCUUUUGUACGGAACGAAAAGGUCUCUCUUAAUACGGGGGGCUCAUGACGGUACCGUAAGAAUAAGCACCGGCUAACUACGUGCCAGCAGCCGCCGUAC